AAAUAGCCUGCUACAUGAGCUCUUGAGUAGUGCUGGAGCUUGUGAGUCAGGACACCUGCACCUUUCUGCCGUGGGGUGGCCCACCCUAACCUCUCCAGUUGGCAGCCCUGGAGGCUGUCUGAUUGCAUCUGCCUGGCAUAUGUCAUAGGAGCAAGGACCAGCAAGCAGCCUGACUUUCAGACUUCAUCACAUCAGCCAUCAAGAUGGUACAGGCAAGUGGACUUGCAGGUGAGAACCAUGUGGAUUCCUUCCCACAGGACUUCAGCAUUUCCAGACUGGGAGACAGCGGGCAGUGGGCUGAUGGGAGGAAAGCCCAGCUCUCAACUGAGUCACUGAAUCAUCAGACGAUUCACAGAAUUUGUGUCUACCCUCAAGUAUGAGUCUAGGAAAGGAAAUGUGGUUCCCCAAGUCAAUUUUAUAAAUGUGAAAAAAACAAGAGUACAUGAGGACAAGUAUUUUCAGUGGGGAAUUCUGAGACACAUCCUUCAUCCCAGCAGACUACCAUAGAGGAUGAGGCCAACUCAUCCAUGUGCUAGUUAAAGAGAUGAAUUACUUUCUGUUCCUCUUCAAUUUUCCUGUAAACAUUGUGACUGUGCAGCCCAUUUUAUAUAGUGUAAGUUAAUGCUUUUAUGUGCUUUAACUUUGUCAUAUUGGUAAGGAGGAUUUUAAGACACCUGGUAAAACUUUAAGGCAUGCCAUUCCAUUAGGACAAUGUUCAGAAAAAGCAGUGUUUUAAAAUGUUCUUUAGGUGACUGUUUUUCCAAUUCUCAUUAUAAAGAGGAGCAAGAAAUAUUCCCAGAAGUGAUGCUUCAGAAGCAAUAACAGAAGGGCCUGUGAAAAAGAAAUGUCUUCCAUUAGUCAGUAUUGAUUCUGAAAGUAUCAAUACUGGAGUGUUGAGGCAACAUGAAAAUCAAAGGAAUGAAGCAGCAGUUUAAAACUCUUCAGGUCCCAGAAGAUUAACAAAACUCAGGGAACUUUCCAUUCUAGAGAACAGAUUUCCACUGGAGUAUCUGACUACGGAUAAUGCUGAAAACAGCAUUUACAAAGUCAAGUCUGAAAAUUCAUUAAAUCCAAAGGAAACUUUAUCUUUGUAGACACAGGGACAAUUCCUGAUAGUGAUUGAUCGUGCAGCACACUGGUUACAAGUCCCUGGUGAUAUGAAAGAGGUCUGUAUAAUCCUGUGUGGCAUGGAGAAGGUACACUCAUCUCUCCUUCCACAGAACUAAGGGCCUACAGAUGAAACUAAGUAGUAGUCAGGAUCGAAACAAACAAGAGGAGCUGGCUUGAGGUCAAGAAUGGAGACCUCCAUGAGAAAGAAAGCCUAUUUGAAAAGCUAGCAUGAUUAUAGGCGGAAAUUUAGCAUGUGCAUGAAAUAUAGAUAUACUACAGAUCACAUUAAUCUUAAGGAAUUAUAAAAAAAUAGAGGAACUAUUAUAUGUGCAAGUUCUGUUCCUCCUCCUUCAUGCCUCUAUGUCACAGAGACAGGGUAAAAUUGACCCAUAUUCUGAAUCAAUACAGCCUUUUUCGUUUUUCUGUUCAGCUGAUAGUCACUCAGCAACACUUUAGUUUUUAGACACUUGCAAAUCUAUGUUCCCAUCAUUCUUUCCAAAUUGGGAUUCAAAGACUAUGUCAAAAAGUAAUGCACAUUCAUUGUAGUUUUCCAUGUUGCCUUCAUUCUGGAGAAGAUGAAGACAUGAAGCCUAAAAUUAAAAUAAACAAUGAAUUGUGCAUUACAACCAUCUGUGUCAUCUGAGAUACAUUAAAACAUUUUCUAUUUAAUGCCUUCCCCCAUCUUACAUUUUUUUCCCUGAAGGAUCAUAUCUCAGUGCAAUCCUCCAAAACUAGAGCAUCAUUUCAUCAAGCUAUGGCAACCUAUUUUUGACACCGACAUCAUAAUCCAUUAAGAUAUCUAAACAAUCUCUUUGUCCUUUUAUUUAUCUAUUCUCAACAGAUUUUAUUUUUCUUGGCUACACAACUUGAUCUGAACAUGAAAUAAAGAUCAGUUAGACUUACUUAUUUCAAUACUGAAGAUUCAUAAGACAGUUGAAGAGGUAAAACAAGAAAGGGUGGAGAGAAAUUUCUGUAGAGGAGAUAAAACAGAAAAGACAAACUGAUUCAUCCACUGGAAAAGGAAGGAAAUGUGCACAGAUAAGUGUUACCUUGACUGGUAACUCUCUGAAGUAAUUCCUUCACAGAAAUCAUUACAUAAUGGCUCCCUGAGAGGACAUUUAUUCCACAG
rnacentral:lncRNA from 7 species